CCUGCUAUGCGACUAGCAGUAGCCUAGGGAGACAUGCGUCGCUGGUAACGGCGGGGUGUGAAGCUCUCCUGACAAUGUAGCCCCCGCAAGGGUGUCGUCGCGCCGUGAGGCGCAAUGGCAGAAGACUCCGAGCAGCACGGGUCGAGGAG
rfam:Ralstonia pickettii 12J chromosome 1, complete sequence.